AUAUAUAUAUUCUGUCGGGUGUCGACUUUGUUCUUUUAACAUUUUUUCAAAGCUGAACCUUAACCUCUUGCUAUCUUCUUCCGCUGCGGCUAGGGUUAUAGCGCGAUUUCUUCUCCUUCUUAAGUAUGACAGAACCACCUUUUGUUCCAAGAGAGAAGCUCCUUGAGAAGCAACGAUUUUUCCAGCAGGUCCAUAAACACACGUACCUGAAAGGACGAAUGGACAAGAUCACCUCGGUUGCCAUUCCUGCUGCUCUGGCGGCUGCUUCUGUAGCUCUUAUUGUAAGACUCUUUUGACUUCAGUUUUUUCAUCAAAUCUUGAUAAACAAAAUUGGAUCGAGUUCCUGUGCCUCUUUGUGAUAUGGUUGUUAUGCAUUUUGCACAGGCACAAGGGAUCUAUAAUAUGGCUCAUGGGAUUGGAAAGAAAGAAUGAAGAGGCAAAAUCUGUUAGAUUAUGUCCUCUAUAUGAUCGGCAGCUAAAAUUUCAAAGAAUUGACUAGAGUUGUUUGUUGAAGUACAUUGUUUCGUACCUCUAAUAAAUGCUUAGUUGCAAACCUGUGACAACCAAUGGAAAGUUGAAACUUCUUUGUUGA